GGAGGAGUCGUAUAAUGGUUAUUACAAGAGAUUGCUAAUCUCUGCCCCGCAAGGGGCCUGUGGGUUCGAGUCCCACCUCCUCCG
rnacentral:tRNA from 1 species